CGGGCCGCGGGGCGCUGUUGGGCAGCCGGUGCCGGGCUGCCCGCUGAUGUCAGGCGCGGCAGGUGUCGGGGAUCGCGGGAACCGGCGGCACUGAGGGCCGGAGCCGAAUUCGCCCCUCGGGCUGCCAGCCCUCCGGCCGGCCGCGGGAACAGCGCAAAGACAUCAGGAGCUUGGCUGAGCGUGUGGAGUGUGCCAGUGCCUACUGCUUUGGGGACCGUCUCUGCUGACCCUCCCAGGCCCCGGGGAGGGGGGAGCAGCUUUUCACACUCCCAGAAGGAGCCCCAGGAGGUCAGGUGGUUUGUCCAAGAUAGCACAGUUAGAGUCCUGCUUGCCACAGACCACAGCUAGGCUCUGAACCCUUCUGCCACUCUCUUCCCAAGAAGGGGAGAGGGAAACCCAGGCCUGCAGCCCCUCAGCUGUGUCCAGGGCAGCCCACAGUUAAGGGGACGGGACAUUUGGCCAGGGAGUCAGUGACCAGAAGAGGAAGGGCAGCUCCCUGGAAGUGGGCUGCACGGCCCCAUUUCCCCUGUGCUGCAGGCAGGGGCAAGGCCAGGGGCCUUUUAGUUGGAGCUUGGGGGCACCCAGGAGGCAGCUCCGCCUUGACCGCCCCGUGGCAGGAUUUGUCCUGCUUCCCGAAAGGCCAGGCCACAGGUACUGCCUGGAAAAUUCUUUAUGGGCUGCUGCCUUCCAGGUGGCUCACUGGGAGUGGCUCCUGAAGCAGGUGCUGGGCAAGUCCCAACCAGAUCCCUCCCUGCCACCAAAGCAGCGGGGCAGGCCAGGCUGGCAUGGUGUGGAACGGGGGAAGGGAGUGAACAGCCGAGCAAUUGACUGAGCUGUCCUGGGCCCCUAGCCUGACUGUCUGGGCUGCCCUUUGGGCUCCAGGUCCUCUCCACUUGCGGGUGCAAAGGCUUUGUGCCCCACUAUGGAGUCAGAUAACUUAGGGAGCACAGUAUUGUACUUGCAAUGUCCUUCAUCUAGAAAUCCCAGGUUGGUACUGCUGAGUCUGUGUGAGUUCAUGGUUUUGUGGACCCCUAAGCCUCAAGCAAAGUGAAUCCCUGAGCUCUCCCCAGUGGUUGACCACAGGUGGGAGGAGAUGAGGCCCAGAAGGGCCCACGUAGAGCCUGGUGCUGGUCAGCAGAAGGGGCAGGGAAGCUGCCCCCGGCACAGCACACCUGCUCCCUCUGGCUGCAUCCAAUGGGAUGUGGACAGAGGCCACAGACCUCUCUCCCAAGCCGCAUGGCCUUCUCAUUCUCCAGGCGUGGCCCAGCCCGUGUUGGCUUUGGAAAGGAGGCUGUGAUAGACAGUCCUUAGAAUGUGGACACUGCUGGGUUCCCAGACUGGCUGCAGAUCUGGCUUUGGCGGAGUCUUGGUGAGUAUGAGAGCCAGCAGUCAGGGCAGAACCCUGGGUCUCCACAAUUGAGAGUAACCCGACAGGUCCUGGGGGUUGUCCCCUCAAAGAGGAAGGGAGGUCACCAGGGCUCUGUGUGACUUGGCGGAGCCUGGAGGCCCUGCCUGUGGAGUGGGGGAGGAGAUGGACCUGCUGCCUGCCUGCCUGCUGGAUCCUCGGCUGUGUCCUCCCAUAGGUCACUACUGAGGCAGGGGCCAGGGCAAGCUGCCUAGGUCCAAGUGGAUCCAGGAACCGGGCCUGGGAGCAACCUGCAGCACGGAAGUGGCUCUGUCAGCUCCAGGCUUCCUGGGGGCAUGUUCGGGGACUCAGGCAGCCAGGAGCAGGGCCACAGCUCCCUGGGUUGCACAUCACUCUUUGGAAAGCCCAUGUCCUUUGUGCACUGGGAGCUGAGCGCCGGUGGGAAAGACUUAGGCAGAGAGGAGCAUGCGGGUGUGCGCGAGCCAGGGCCCAGCUUCGGAGGAACACUGGUGGGCUCCUGACUUCAGCUGGCACGUAACUGUUGGCUCCUGAGGAGGAGGAGCCCGGGGCUGGCUGGGUUCCUCCCCUCGAAAGUCACUGGCCAGGUGCUCUGGGCAGACACAGCCGCAGCUUGCUGCCCUCCAGAUGCAGACCUGGAAGGGACUCUGGUCACC
rnacentral:lncRNA from 1 species